UGGGGAAUAUUGGACAAUGGGGGCAACCCUGAUCCAGCAAUGCCGCGUGAGUGAUGAAGGCCCUAGGGUUGUAAAGCUCUUUUACCCGCGAUGAUAAUGACAGUAGCGGGAGAAUAAGCUCCGGCUAACUCCGUGCCAGCAGCCGCGGUAAUACGGAGGGAGCUAGCGUUGUUCGGAAUUACUGGGCGUAAAGCGCGCGUAGGCGGCCAUUCAAGUCAGAGGUGAAAGCCCGGGGCUCAACCCCGGAACUGCCUUUGAAACUAGAUGGCUAGAAUCUUGGAGAGGCGAGUGGAAUUCCGAGUGUAGAGGUGAAAUUCGUAGAUAUUCGGAAGAACACCAGUGGCGAAGGCGACUCGCUGGACAAGUAUUGACGCUGAGGUGCGAAAGUGUGGGGAGCAAACAGGAUUAGAUACCCGUGUAGUCC
rnacentral:rRNA from 1 species